rnacentral:rRNA from 1 species
AUUGAACGCUGGCGGCAUGCCUUACACAUGCAAGUCGAACGGUAACAGGUCUUCGGAUGCUGCCGAGCGGCGAACGGGUACGUAAUACAUCGGAACGGGCCCGAUCGUUGGGGAUAACGAAGCGAAACCUUUGCUAAUACCGCAUACGAGCUAAGGAUGUAAGCAGGGGACCGCAAGGCCUUGCGCGAACGGAGCGGCCGAUGGCAGAUUAGGUAGUUGGUGAGAUAAAAGCUUACCAAGCCGACGAUUUGUAGCUGGUCUGAGAGGACGACCAGCCACACUGGGACUGAGACACGGCCCAGACUCCUACGGGAGGCAGCAGUGGGGAAUUUUGGACAAUGGGCGAAAGCCUGAUCCAGCCAUGCCGCGUGCAGGAUGAAGGCCUUCGGGUUGUAAAAUGCUUUUGUACGGAACGAAAAGACUCUGGUGAAUACCUGGGGGCCAUGACGGUACCGUAAGAAUAAGCACCGGCUAACUACGUG